GGAAACCCCAGUGUCAGAAGGGGAAGGUGCUGCUAAUCGCUGGUUUCCAUGCGUGAGUUUGGGUUAAUUCCAGCAAUGCCAUCCAGGAAACAAAGUCAGCAGAAGCCUUUCCUAUUAAAACUGUCACAGCUUGAUAGGACUCAUUCGACAAAACUAAAAGGGAAACAGCCACCUCGAGCUUCUGUUCACUGUGAGGCAAGAGAUGGGGGGGAGGCAGGAGGGGGUUUUGCAAAUCUGAAAGCGAGAGGAGUUGCUAGUCCACCCGUGACAUGGAGCCAGCAGCAAAGAUCAUCACUGCCUUCCAACAGCACUACACAGCGUGUGGGUGCAAAUGAAGAGAAGGUGUCAGCUUUGGGCACUGGGGACCAGCUCUGCUAUGUGUGUGCACGAGCCACUUCAGUUCCCUUUCUCCCCAGGCUUUCCUUCAGCAUGCUGACAGCCCAUGAGGCAGGCUUGUCUGAUGAAUGA
rnacentral:lncRNA from 1 species